rnacentral:rRNA from 1 species
CUACGGGCGGCAGCAGUGGGGAAUAUUGGACAAUGGGGGAAACCCUGAUCCAGCAAUGCCGCGUGUGUGAAGAAGGCCUGCGGGUUGUAAAGCACUUUCGGUUGGGAGGACUGCUUCUAGCACUAAUAUUGUUGGAAGUUGACGUUACCUUCAGCAGAAGCACCGGCUAACUCCGUGCCAGCAGCGGCGGUAAUACGGAGGUGCAAGCGUUAAUCGGAAUUACUGGGCGUAAAGCGCGCGUAGGCGGCUAGAUCAGUCGGGUGUGAAAGCCCCGGGCUUAACCUGGGAACUGCAUCCGAUACUGUCUAGCUUGAGUACAGGAGAGGAGAGUGGAAUUCCACAUGUAGCGGUGAAAUGCGUAGAUAUGUGGAGGAACACCAAUGGCGAAGGCAGCUCUCUGGCCUGAUACUGACGCUGAGGUGCGAAAGCGUGGGGAGCAAACAGGAUUAGAUACCCCCGUAGUC